rnacentral:rRNA from 1 species
GAUGAACGCUGGCGGCGUGCCUAAUACAUGCAAGUCGAGCGAACAGACGAGGAGCUUGCUCCUUCGACGUUAGCGGCGGACGGGUGAGUAACACGUAGGUAACCUACCUAUAAGACUGGGAUAACUUCGGGAAACCGGAGCUAAUACCGGAUAAUAUUUCGAACCGCAUGGUUCGAUAGUGAAAGAUGGCUUUGCUAUCACUUAUAGAUGGACCUGCGCCGUAUUAGCUAGUUGGUAAGGUAACGGCUUACCAAGGCAACGAUACGUAGCCGACCUGAGAGGGUGAUCGGCCACACGGGAACUGAGACACGGUCCAGAAUCCUACGGGAGGCAGCAGUAGGGAAUCUUCCGCAAUGGGCGAAAGCCUGACGGAGCAACGCCGCGUGAGUGAUGAAGGUCUUCGGAGCGUAAAAAUCUGUUAUUAGGGAAGAACAAACGUGUAAGUAACUGUGCACGUCUUGACGGUACCUAAUCAGAAAGCCACGGCUAACUACGUG